UACAGAGGUGGCAAGCGUUGUUCGGAAUUACUGGGCGUAAAGGGCGCGUAGGCGGCCUGCUAAGUCAUACGUGAAAUCCCUCGGCUCAACCGGGGAACUGCGUGUGAUACUGGCGGGCUUGAAUUCGGGAGAGGGAUGCGGAAUUCCAGGUGUAGCGGUGAAAUGCGUAGAUAUCUGGAGGAACACCGGUGGCGAAGGCGGCAUCCUGGACCGGUAUUGACGCUGAGGCGCGAAAGCUAGGGGAGCAAACGGG
rnacentral:rRNA from 1 species